GGACAAUGCACCGUUUCGAGUACUCAAGGAAACCGUCAAAGUCUGCAUAUUUGGAACGGAAUACUAUAAGAAGACUCCAGAGAAAAGACAAAAAGGAUCUGGACUCGAGUGCCACUGGCUGGCCGAAGGAGGCAUACAAGAUUCAAAUGCCACUGUCUGGCCGAAGGAUGAGCACAGAAAAAAAAAAAAUUACAGCAUAUCCACGGGUGAAUCAUGAAGAGUGGGGCGAAGCUCUUAACAUUAAAGAUACCGCGGCCCACACCUCAAAUGAAACUUCAUGCCAUGGAAAAAGAAAAGGCUUUCAGUCUGAAACAGCUCCCCCAAGUCUGAAGUAUCAGUAUGUAUACCUAAAGCAUUCUCUAAAAAAGGUUCUUCUCA